rnacentral:sRNA from 2 species
AUAUUCUGCCCCACGGGAAAGGAUGAGAAGCUUCGACCAGGGUUCGACUCGAGCGUAGCGAGAGAACGUUGCCGAAGGCAACGGCCCGAAGGGCGAGGCGCUUUAGCGCCGAGUCAUCCUUCCCCCACCGCUG